CUUGCACGGACGGCCCCUCUUUUCCCCUCUCCUUUGCACUUCCUGGAACCCCACUAGCUAGACAAAGAUCCUGCCGACCGCAGAGAAUCAUUUCCUUUCUUUAAAUACGUGCCCACAUUUCGUUCUCAGCCAUAGCCUGGGGUCCCUUCUUUCAGGCAGCUCCAGAAUUGAAGCCAGUCUCUCCUUGCUGCUCUUCCUGGACCUGGUCCCCACCCUUUACUCUUCCCUCUCUCCUCUGCAACCCGAGUUUACAUACACGCACCACCACUACCACCACCACUCAAAAACCACAAGCAGAUGGUGCCAAACCGGUAUGCUCACUCUCCAAGGAUGGCAGGUCUGGCUCUGGUGCCACCUUCGCACUUUUGACAUCAUAAAUUCCAACUAAAUGAUCUAUUUGUUUAAUAAAAAGGAGACCAGGUGCAGUGGCUCACACCUGUAAUCCCAACACUUUGGGAGGCUGAGGUGGGAGGAUUGCUUGAGCCCAGGAGUUCAAGACCAGCCUGGGCAAGACCCUGUCUGCACAAAAAAUGAAAACAUUAGCCGGGCGUUGUGAUGUGUGCCUGUGGUCCCAGCUACUCAGAAGGCUAAGGCAGGAGAAUCACUUGAAUCCAAGAGUUCAAGGCUGCAGCUAGCCAUGAUUGUGCCACUGUA
rnacentral:lncRNA from 10 species